rnacentral:misc_RNA from 1 species
AAGUCGUAACAAGGUCUCCGUUGGUGAACCAGCGGAGGGAUCAUUACAGAGUUGCAAAACUCCCAACCAUUGCGAACCUACCUCACCGUUGCUUCGGCGGGUGGCCCGGGGCAACCCAGGCCGCGCCGGCCCCUCCUUCAGGGGCCGGCAAACCCGUCAGAGGACCGAAACUCUUCGUCAUCAGUGGCCUCUCUGAGUAACUUAUACAAUAAGUCAAAACUUUCAACAACGGAUCUCUUGGUUCUG